UACGUAGGGUCCGAGCGUUGUCCGGAAUUAUUGGGCGUAAAGGGCUCGUAGGCGGUUAGUCGCGUCGGGCGUGAAAACUCAGGGCUCAACCCUGAGCGUGCUUCCGAUACGGGCUGGCUAGAGGUAUGCAGGGGAGAACGGAAUUCCUGGUGUAGCGGUGGAAUGCGCAGAUAUCAGGAGGAACACCGGUGGCGAAGGCGGUUCUCUGGGCAUUACCUGACGCUGAGGAGCGAAAGCAUGGGGAGCGAACAGG
rnacentral:rRNA from 1 species